UCUACCUAGUAGUAUGGAAUAAUUGUUGGAAACGGCAACUAAUACCGUAUACGCCCUACGGGGGAAAAAUUUAUUGCUAUUGGAUGAGCCUAUAUUAGAUUAGCUAGUUGGUGGAGUAAUAGCCUACCAAGGCAAUGAUCUAUAGCUGAUCUGAGAGGAUGAUCAGCCACACUGGAACUGAGAUACGGUCCAGACUCCUACGGGAGGCAGCAGUGGGGAAUAUUGGACAAUGGGCGAAAGCCUGAUCCAGCCAUGCCGCAUGAGUGAAGAAGGCCUUUGGGUUGUAAAGCUCUUUUAGUGAGGAAGAUAAUGACGGUACUCACAGAAGAAGUCCUGGCUAACUCCGUGCCAGCAGCCGCGGUAAUACGGAGAGGGCUAGCGUUAUUCGGAAUUAUUGGGCGUAAAGGGCGCGUAGGCUGGUUAAUAAGUUAAAAGUGAAAUCCCGAGGCUUAACCUUGGAAUUGCUUUUAAAACUAUUAAUCUAGAGAUUGAAAGAGGAUAGAGGAAUUCCUGAUGUAGAGGUAAAAUUCGUAAAUAUUAGGAGGAACACCAGUGGCGAAGGCGUCUAUCUGGUUCAAAUCUGACGCUGAAGCGCGAAGGCGUGGGGAGCAAACAGGAUUAGAUACCCUGGUAGUCCACGCUGUAAACGAUGAAUGUUAAAUAUGGGAAGUUUACUUUCUGUAUUACAGCUAACGCGUUAAACAUUCCGCCUGGGGACUACGGUCGCAAGAUUAAAACUCAAAGGAAUUGACGGGGACCCGCACAAGCGGUGGAGCAUGUGGUUUAAUUCGAUGCAACGCGAAAAACCUUACCACUUCUUGACAU
rnacentral:rRNA from 1 species